rnacentral:rRNA from 1 species
AUACGUAGGUGACAAGCGUUAUCCGGAUUUACUGGGCGUAAAGGGCGUGUAGGCGGUCUUGCAAGUCAGAAGUGAAAUUCCUGAGCUCAACUCGGGCGCUGCUUCUGAAACUGCAGGACUUGAGUGCUGGAGGGGAUAGCGGAAUUCCUAGUGGAGCGGUAAAAUGCGCAGAUAUUAGGAAGAACACCGGUGGCGAAGGCGGCUAUCUGGACAGUAACUGACGCUGAGGCUCGAAAGCGUGGGGAGCAAACAGGAUUAGAUACCCUGGUAGUCCACGCCGUAAACGAUGAUCACUAGGUGUUGGGAGGCAAAGCCUUUCGGUGCCGCAGCUAACGCAAUAAGUGAUCCACCUGGGGAGUACGUUCGCAAGAAUGAAACUCAAAUGAAUUGACGGGG